rnacentral:rRNA from 1 species
AACGAACGCUGGCGGCGCGCCUAACACAUGCAAGUCGAACGAGAAUCCGGGGCAACCCGGUAGUAAAGUGGCAAACGGGUGAGGAAUACAUGGGUAACCUACCCUUGAGAAGGGAAUAACCCGCCGAAAGGUGAGCUAAUACCCUAUACGCUAUCUUUUUUUCGAAAAAGAUAGGAAAGCCGGGUCGAGGACCUGGUACUCAAGGAGGGGCUCAUGUCCUAUCAGCUUGUUGGUGGGGUAACGGCCUACCAAGGCUACGACGGGUAGCUGGUCUGAGAGGAUGAUCAGCCACACUGGCACUGAGAUACGGGCCAGACUCCUACGGGAGGCAGCAGUGAGGAAUAUUGCGCAAUGGGCGAAAGCCUGACGCAGCGACGCUGCGUGGGGGAUGAAGGUUUUCGGAUUGUAAACCCUUUCAUGAGGAAGAUAAAGUGGGUAACCACUUAGACGGUACCUCAAGAAGAAGCCACGGCUAACUUCGUGCCAGCAGCCGCGGUAAAGUCU